rnacentral:rRNA from 1 species
UACGAAGGGGGCUAGCGUUGCUCGGAAUCACUGGGCGUAAAGGGUGCGUAGGCGGGUCUUUAAGUCAGGGGUGAAGUCCUGGAGCUCAACUCCAGAACUGCCUUUGAUACUGAAGAUCUUGAGUUCGGGAGAGGUGAGUGGAACUGCGAGUGUAGAGGUGAAAUUCGUAGAUAUUCGCAGGAACACCAGUGGCGAAGGCGGCUUACUGGUCCAUAACUGACGCUGAGGUGCGAAAGCGUGGGUAGCAAACAGG